rnacentral:rRNA from 1 species
GACGAACGCUGGCGGCGUGCCUAAUACAUGCAAGUCGAGCGGACUGAAUGGGAGCUUGCUCUUGUUCGGUCAGCGGCGGACGGGUGAGUAACACGUGGGCAACCUGCCCGCAAGACCGGGAUAACUUCGGGAAACCGGAGCUAAUACCGGAUAAUACCGAAGACCGCAUGGUCUUUUGUUGAAAGGCGGCGCAAGCUUCCACUUUCGGAGGGGCCCGCGGCGCAUUAGCUAGUUGGUGAGGAAACGGCUCACCAAGGCGACGUUGCGUAGCCGGACGUAGAGGGUGGACGGGCCCAAUGGGACCGAGAACCGGCCCCAACCCCUUAGGGAGGCCACAGGAGGGGAUCUUCCGCAAAGGGCGAAAGCCUGACGGGGCGACCCCGCGGGAGGUAAGAAGGCCUUCGGGUCGUUAAGAUCUGUUGUGAGGGACGAAGGAGCGGCGUUUGAAGCAGGCGGCGCGGUGACGGUACCUAACGAGGAAGCCCCGGCUAACUACGUG